GCGGGCGUAGUUCAAUGGUAGAACUCCAGCCUUCCAAGCUGGCCAUGCGGGUUCGAUUCCCGUCGCCCGCUCCG
rnacentral:tRNA from 1 species